UACGUAGGGUGCAAGCGUUGUCCGGAAUUACUGGGCGUAAAGCGCACGUAGGCGGCUCUUUAAGUCGGAGGUGAAAUCCUGGAGCUCAACUCCAGAACUGCCUUCGAUACUGAAGAGCUCGAGUCCGGGAGAGGUGAGUGGAACUGCGAGUGUAGAGGUGAAAUUCGUAGAUAUUCGCAAGAACACCAGUGGCGAAGGCGGCUCACUGGCCCGGUACUGACGCUGAGGUGCGAAAGCGUGGGGAGCAAACAGG
rnacentral:rRNA from 1 species